UUAUGUCUUGCUAGGUUUCUGUGGAUAGGUCUGAUGAUAUUUUGAUGUUCCUUCCUCUGCACAUAAGAAAUCUCUUUCCCCAGCUUCUCUCAGGA